CAGCAGCCGCGGGAAUACGAAGGGGGCUAGCGUUGCUCGGAAUGACUGGGCGUAAAGGGCGCGUAGGCGGUUCGUACAGUUGGAUGUGAAAUUCCUGGGCUUAACCUGGGGGCUGCAUUCAAUACGUUCGGGCUAGAAUGUGGAAGAGGGUUGUGGAAUUCCCAGUGUAGAGGUGAAAUUCGUAGAUAUUGGGAAGAACACCGGUGGCGAAGGCGGCAACCUGGUCCAUAAUUGACGCUGAGGCGCGAAAACGUGGGGAGCAAACAGGAUUAGAUACCCGUGUAGUCCCUGUCUCUUAUAA
rnacentral:rRNA from 1 species